CAGGGAGAGGACAUUCCAUAGUCUGGCAGUCAUUACCUCCUGACUACCUUGUGACUCUGUACUUUUACACUUCCUGGUUUCUGGAAUCUGGACUGACUGGUUUCAGUCACUCCUGGCCUAUUCCAGUAACAUAUGGCCUGUAGUUAAAAGAAGUCUUAGGCCUUAGUUUUAGGGUGAAAGCAUUUUAGUCUUAUUUUGGUUCCACAGGUAUUAGACUUUAUUAUCUCCUGAGAGGCAAGCUGUUUGCCUGUUCCUAGUUCUCAAGAGUUGUCAACAUCCCACUAGGAAACAGAACACAAGACUGGGAGUAAAUUAAAGAUGCUGCAGUAAAGCACAGUCUUUGUGUGAACACUGGAGAGCACAUGCGUCUCCAGGGAAGACAACCAUGGAGGCAACUGGAGAAGUUAUGUGGAUUUUAAUCAAUGAUAAAGUUUGGAGAACUCCAAAAGGAAGAUGAAACUAAUGAUCUCUCUCUGCCAACAACUGUGAUAAAAAGCAUCCAUUAAGGGUAAUAUUGAGGAUAUUCCUUUGUAGCUGAAUAAAGGCAUAAAAUGAGUCUA